rnacentral:tRNA from 5 species
GGGGAGAUACCCAAGCGGUCAACGGGAUCAGACUGUAAAUCUGACGGCUGAAGCCUUCGAAGGUUCGAAUCCUUCUCUCCCCACCA